GUUCAGGCAAGGGAAGUCAUGUGUCAGGGUAGCCAGUGCCUUCUAUUUGCUCACAUAAGCAGUGGGAUCUUAGUCGCUCUUUUCCCCAUUUGCUGUCCAGCAUUAACUGUACUCAUCUUGCAGGUCAUUGCUUAGCCAGUUGGAGACCCGCAACUUGAUCAUAUCUACAGGGAACAGAAAUUGAGUGACAGAUGUUCUGGCAAAGUUGGAACUAUGAUGCAUAGUAGUAGUAGUAUUAGUAUUAUCAACAUUUUGGAAGUUCCUCUCUUUGUAUGUUUUGGUUAUUUUGGAGGCAAACAAACGAGGAUAUAUAUGCUAGGAGACUACCAUGGAACUGUAAUAUAAUGGGCGUGCUUUUACAAGCAUCACCUUUGUACCAAAAUUUUGUUAUUGUUAAAUAAUAAUAUUAAUAUCCUUAUAG